rnacentral:tRNA from 1 species
GGAUAUAGCUCAGUGGUAGAGCACUUGCCUAGUGUGCACAAGGCCCUGGGUUCAAUCUCAAGUUCCA